rnacentral:piRNA from 1 species
UACGAGUUGUGCACUUUGGAA